UCAGUAAAUCGUCGACCGCCGGAGUGAAAGACGGAGAGUAAAGGUACCACAAGAGACACCAUCGCUAGAGCUAUUCAUUCCAUCGCGAGAAUCGAACUGGAGCUAGCCGAAAGGAAGCAAAAGUAGAAGUGGACGACGUUAUUCCAACAAUCCAAACGCAUUGCCGAGUACGCGUUGCUUAGCACUUACAAAGAAUUAUUCGUUCCCAAAGAAGUGUUCACGCUGAGCAGAGGAACGAAUUAAACACGCGUGUGUUAUCAUCGUUAUCUAUCACCGGGAGUGAUUGUUAUUACUGUUACUGUUAUAGUUGUUAUUAUUAUUAUUAUUAUUAUUAUUAUUGUACUUUUUCUUUUCUUUUUUCUUUUUUUUUUUUUUUAUCUUCCUCCUGUUCUCUUUUUUUCUUUUUCUCUUUUGCUCUUCUCUUGUUUCAUUCCGUUUACGUUUCGUUUUGUUCAAUUUAAAACGGACUCUCCCGGAAAACAAAAGUCUCCUCGACUUCCUUUCAUCCCUCUUUUCGAUUUUGUCAUUUUUCUUUUGUCUACAUUCUUUUUUCCCUUUCCCUUUCUUGUUUUUUUCUUUCUUUCUGUCUUUCUGUCUGCUCUCUCUCUCUCUCUUUCUCUUUUUAUCUUCGUCUCCCUUCUCUCCCUUUCAUCCUCACGUCCACCCUUUUUGGUUUUGUCAACUCAACGUUGGUUUCGUGAAAACGUACGGAUCGCGUGUGACCAGGCAGCGCGAUGCUCGAAGGAUUCGCGAUAGCGCGGAGCACGAUAAUAGGAAUCGUGGCGUUACUGAUCGGAUUUAACAGCCAUGAUCAUGCAUGCAAAGGAUUGCAAUAUCAACCGGUUGAGAUUUAUGGAAACGCCGAGGAAUGUGCUUUGAUCCUAGAUGGUCCUGGCAGAACUAGCGUUUUCGAUUACACUUAUAAUUUACUUCGAGGAAAUUUUCCACCUACUGCGGGAUCGCAGACCUGUAUCACCUACGAUGCCGUUAAUCAUGCCUAUAUCGAGGCGAGGAAACGCAUCAACGUCGCAAAGCCUAAACACGAAAUCUGGAGACCCGAGGAUCUGGCUACGGUCGGUGAACUCUUACUUGACAUAUCAACUAAUUUAGCUCAAAUAUACGGCCUGACAUUUGAGGAUAUUGAGAAAAAUCUUCCAUUGAUCGACACAUCGAAAACACUGAUACGCGAGAUAUGUCCCGCUUUUCUAAGCAACGUCGAAUGUCGACCGGGAAAAUAUCGAAGAUACGAUGGGCUAUGUACAAAUUUACAAAAUCCAACAUGGGGUUCAACUUUGUCGCCAUUCACAAGAUUAAUGCCACCACGAUUUUCCGAUGGUAUAUCAGCACCUAGGAUAGCCGUAAGUGGACGAGAAUUACCAUUGUCCAGAAUAGUAUCCCGUACGAUGCAUCCAGAUGAGGGAUAUCACGAUCAUGCUGGUACUGUCAUGGUGAUAGCCUGGGGCCAAUUCAUGGAUCAUGAUUACACGCUUACUGGAACGCCCUUAGAUCCUCUAAAUCGUAAUGAUCCGGAAGAAUGUUGUUCUCGUCCACCGCAUUUGAAGAAUCCAUAUUGCAACGAGAUACGUAUACCAGAGGACGAUUACUUCUACAGAUUGUUCAACGUUCGAUGUAUGGACUUUGUACGAGCGUUUCCAGCAGUCCGACCAGGAUGUCGUCUUGGAUCACGUAUACCUUUCAAUUUGUUAACCGGAGUUUUGGAUGGAAAUACCGUUUACGGUAUUACGGAGAAUUUUUCUAGAAAACUCCGAAGCGGUUAUGGCGGAUUGUUAAGAAUGAAUCCAGUUUUUAAUGAGUACGGAUUGAAAGAUCUAUUGCCAUUGAAAUUAGAUAUACCAGACGAAGGAUGCACUCGUCCGAACAAAUCGAUGUACUGUUUCGAAGCAGGUGAAAUUCGAGUUAACGAGCAGUUGGUAUUAACGUGUAUGCAUACGUUGGUAGCAAGGGAACACAACAGGAUUGCUAAAAUACUCACUCGUAUUAAUCCUCAUUGGGAUGACGAGACGUUGUUCCAGGAAUCAAGACGCAUAGUCAUCGCUGAAAUCCAACAUAUCACUUAUAAUGAAUUCCUCCCGAUUCUUUUGGGAAAAGACGUUAUGGAGAAGUUUGGACUUCUUCUUGAGAAAAAUGUAUAUUGGGAUGGAUACGAUCCAACAGUAAAUCCUGGUGUUAUCGAUGCAUUCGCCGCUGCUGCAUUUAGAUUUGGACAUUCUUUGCUACCAACUGCGGUCGAACGUUGGAGCAAGGCUCAUAAAUUUAUUGCUUCGAAAAGAUUAUCAGAUCUAAUUAGAAGACCGUACGAUCUAUAUCGCGCUGGAGUUUUGGACGAAUACUUUAUGGGAUUAAUGAAUCAAGUUGCCCAAGCUAUGGACGAUUCGAUAACACAAGAAGUGACAAAUCAUUUGUUCAAAAAGGUUGGUGCAAAGUUCGGAAUGGAUUUGGUAUCAUUCAAUAUGCAACGUGGAAGAGAAUUUGGUAUACCGAGUUACAUGGACUUCCGAAAAUAUUGUGGAUUACCCGAGGCUAAGACCUUCGACGAAUUGUUCGGAUCCAUGCCAAACGAGACUAUUGGACGGUAUAGCUCCAUUUUCGAACAUCCAGCGGACGUAGAUUUGUGGUCCGGUGGUGUAUCAGAGCGACCACUUCCGGGUAGUAUGCUUGGUCCAACCUUCGCCUGUGUAAUCGCUACGCAAUUUAGCCAUUCACGACGUGGUGACAGGUUUUGGUACGAAUUACCGAACCAACCAUCGUCCUUCACUCUCGAUCAACUCAAUGAAAUUCGUAAGACGAAACUUGCUAAAAUGAUAUGCGACAACACAGACCUGAUAGACACCAUACAAAUAUAUCCAAUGGUUCUGCCUGAUCAUGAAAUCAAUCCACGAGUACCAUGCCGUAGUGGUGUAUUACCAAGUAUAGACCUGAGCAAAUGGGCCGAGUUUCCAACGAGCCAUUCAACGCAAUAUGUGAGUAAUCUAGCGCGACAGUACGGGCCUUUUGGGAAGUAAGAAAAGGGCCUCAUCCACGUUCCAUCCUAGAAAAUAUUAAUAAACAAUCAGAAAAAAAGAGAAAAAAAAACAACAACAACAACAACAAAAAAUAUAUAUAUAUAAUAUAUACACCGGGAUACUACAUACUUAUCACCACUACCACUACCACCACCACCACCACCACCACCACCACCACCACCACCACCACCACCAUCACCAUCACCACCACCACCACCACCACCACCACGUAGCAUGCCUCACGAGCAAGGACAUCCUAAUCCAAGACACAUUGCCUAGGCAUGCACGCAGAAAAUAAAACAAGCAAGCAAGCAAGCAAGUAACAACAACAACAACAACAACAACAACAACAACAACAAUAACAACUACAACAACAACAACAAUUAAAGCAACAACAACAAGAACAACAACAACAAAACCCAUAAUCACGUUUGUAGUUUAUUCAUUAAAAAUGAAUAGGAGGAAUGAAAGUGAUAACCCCUUUUUUUUUUUUAUUUUGCCAUUUUUUUGUCUUUCCUUUUUUUCUCUCUUCGAGAAAACUAAGAAAGAUCUUGAAGGAAGGUAAAUUAAUUUAUUAAAAUCGAUAAACGACAAAAGAAUAAUUAAUUUUGCUGCAUGGUAGAUGAUACCUAUAACAGAGGAAAAAGCUUUUCAUUAGUUCUUCAUACAUAACUUAUAAGUUCAUUCAAUUAAAUGUUAGAGAGAAAUAGAGAAAGAGAGAGAGAGAGAGAGAGAGAGAGAGAGAGAGAGAGAGAACUAAUUUAAUGUAUUUUAUAUUACGUAUUAAACGGCGAAUCGAGAGUGACAGUAAAAUCAAAAUUUAUCGUUAAUAUUAAUUGCCGUAUGCAAUUUAGAGUUUAGCGAGUUUUUUCUUUUCUUCUUUUUUUUCUUUUUUUCUUAGAUCCUGUAGAGGUCGAAGACUUAAUUUGCAUGGUGCAUAGCGAACAUAGUACCUAUAUCACAUAUAUUAAUUACACAUACACACACGCACACACAUAUACGUCUCUACAUAAUAUAUAUAUAUAUAUAUCUAUAUAUAUAUAUAUAGAAUAGAAUUCUGUAUUUAUCUUUAUACACUUCAAUCAUCUCACAGUUUGAAAUUUAGUUUGAAAUAGAAAUCAAUUUAUCUAUUAAUAAUAUAUUACGCACGUUUUCACGCCGUUAUUAUUAUGCACAUUGAUUGGACUAAAACUUCGUUGAUUCGAUACUUUGAUAAGUGAAACAAAAAAUAUUCACAUACUUACACACACACAAACACAUACCCAUACGUACAUUUUACACGUAUAUACACAUCCAUCCAUCCAUCCAUCCAUCCAUCCAUCCAUCUAUCCAUCCAUCCUAAUCGUCCAUUGUCCUUGAUUUUCCCGUCGCCAUUUAUUUUGCGCAGCACCACCACCGUCGUCGGCACACAAGCUACAAAUGUAAAAAAGAAAAAACUAUUGUACUGUAGCGUUUGGUGGAGGAACGUUUGCUUGACGUGCCGGGACGUCCGGCGAAUGCGGACACGGUACGGGACCACUACGAGAAACAGGACGCUUUGCGAAUCUUCUUUGAGAGUAUUAAUGGCAUUGCUUCGUAUCUGGGCAUCACGA